UACGGGGGGGGCAAGCGUUGUUCGGAAUUACUGGGCGUAAAGGGCUCGUAGGUGGCCAACUAAGUCAAUCGUGAAAUCCCUCGGCUUAACCGGGGAACUGCGCUUGAUACUGGAUGGCUUGAGUUUGGGAGAGGGAUGCGGAAUUCCAGGUGUAGCGGUGAAAUGCGUAGAUAUCUGGAGGAACACCGGUGGCGAAGGCGGCAUCCUGGACUGCACCUGACGCUGACACGCGAAAGCUAGGGGAGCGAACGGG
rnacentral:rRNA from 1 species